AGAAUCAACGCUGGCGGCGUGCCUAACACAUGCAAGUCGAACGAGAAAGUGGAGCAAUUCACAAGUAAAGUGGCGCACGGGUGAGUAACACGUGACUAACCUACCCUUGAGUGGGGGAUAACCUAGGGAAACCUGGGCUAAUACCGCAUAAUACCUACGGGUCAAAGGAGCAAUUCGCUUAAGGAGGGGGUCGCGGCCGAUUAGUUAGUUGGCGGGGUAAUGGCCCACCAAGACGAUGAUCGGUA
rnacentral:rRNA from 1 species